rnacentral:lncRNA from 1 species
AGGAAAAUUACUGGGGAAUAACAAUUGUGUCAUCAUGACAAACAACUGACAUAGCUGAGGCCCGUUGAAGUCCCAGAGCAACCUUGGUCCUGUAGUCAGAGAUGACUUGUGAAAAUAAAUGCAUCUGGCUCAUUGACUUGAGUUCUUGUACCCAAACUGGAAAGAUUCAGAGCCAGGGUUGAGUCCUCCUUACAGGGCGAGUUCUCUGACAAGGAAGUUUUGCAACCUAAUUUACAGCUGGAGCCAAGCUUGUCAGUGAGUGCCAGAGGGAAACUGUCGCAAUCGGCUGGCUAAGUAUGUAUUUAAUAGUGUUUAUCCAAAUGAAUUUGUGAUUUCUUCACUCUCUCCAGCAAAUAUGUUAUUUGUAAUAGCUAUCUUCUCUCAUCUAGGUGUUUGAAAAACGUCUCUAACGUGUGUGGGCUGGAAUGCAUUUUGUUUUUUCUGUAGGUAUAUUCAUUUAACAAGGGAAGUCUCCGAGGAGCUAUCAAAAACUGCUUGUCAUCUUUCCAAAUCAUCUCUGUCUGCAGUGGCCAUGUCUUAAUCCUGAAGGACAACAAGGCAAAACACUUUAUACUCUUGACAAACAAAAGUGCUAGAUUGUAGGAUCUAAGGAUGAGUCGGGGGAGCUGUGGAUACCACCGAUACCUGGAAAAUGUGUGUGAAUUAAUGAAAAGACACAGGAAAAGUAAAGAUCUGACAACCAAGGGGAUAAAUGAACAGCUCAGCACCAUCCUGGAGGGGCUCACUCAGCAGAGAGGAGGAACAAUCACUCCUAGGAUACUCUCUCAUCUGGGAUACCUUACAAUGUGUCAGAGCACCCCUGAACCCAAGGUCUUGGAUGGAUGAUUUUACUACUCAGAUGCUGAAUUGCAAGUCUCAGCAACUGAAACCCAACAGAAAAAAACUCCUGGAGAAUGGAGCACAUUAAUCAAGUAAAACUGCAGAUUAAAUCAUGUUUUUGGUGGGAAAAAACAUCUUUUAUUUAAAAACUGUUUUAUCAAACUUUCAAAAAUUGAUAAUUUAAGAAUCCAGGGCUAGACUCAGUGGCUCAUGCCUGUAAUCCCAGAACUUUGGGAGGCCGAGGCAGGCAGAUCACCUGAGGUUGAGUUUGAGACCAGCCUGGCCAACAUAGUGAAACCCGGUCUCUAUUAAAAAUACCAAAAUUAGCCAGGUGUGGUGGUGGGCGCCUGUAAUCCCAGCUACUUGGGAGGCUGAAGCAGGAGAAUUGCUUGAAGCUGGGAGGCAGAGAUUACAGUGAGCCGAGACUGCACCACCGGACUUCAGCCUGGUCAACAAGAGUGAAACUCCAUCUCACAAAACAAAAACAAAAACAAAAAAAGAAAACAAAACAAAAAAAGAAUCCAAAAGUAUUUAAGGAUCAUUAUUUAAAUAAUAAAUUUGAUGUGUAAAACUGUAGAUCUAAAAUG